GACCCUACGGGACCAGCAGUGGGGAAUAUUGCACAAUGGGGGAAACCCUGAUGCAGCAACGCCGCGUGAGUGAAGAAGUCAUUCGUGAUGUAAAGCUCUAUCAGCAGGGAAGAAAAUGACGGUGCCUGAGUAAGAAGCCCCGGCUAACUAUGUGCCAGCAGCCGCGGUAAUACGUAGGGGGCAAGCGUUAUCCGGAUUUACUGGGUGUAAAGGGAGCGUAGACGGCCAGACAAGUCUGAAGUGAAAAUCCAGCGCUUAACGUUGGAAGUGCUUUGGAAACUGCCGGGCUAGAGUGCAGGAGGGGG
rnacentral:rRNA from 1 species